UCAUAACAAUAAAGUGCUAUUUUUCCAUACCUUUUCUAUGUUUAGAUUUGUUUAGAUACACAAACACUUACCAUUGUGUUAAAAUUGCCUACAGUCUUCAG